AUGGCUGUUCGUCCCAUCGCUCUUUGAAAUACAGGGGAGGAAAGUCCGGACACCACAGAGUGCCAUGCUUCCUAACAGGAAGGUUCAUACUUGUAUGAAACAGAUAGUGCCACAGAAAAUAUACCGCCAUGCUCCGGUGUGGUAAGGGUGAAAACGUGAGGUAAGAGCUCACGUCGGUCUGAGGUGACUCAGGCGGAGGUAAACCUCAUGGGGUGCAAGACCAAAUAUACCGGCUAUUGGGUUACUCGCUCAGGCCGGGGGGUAGGUUGCUACAAUUGAAUGGCGACAUUCAAUGCAGAUAAAUGAUGGGAAUAGCGCUUGCGUUAUACAGAAUCCGGCUUACAGAACAGCCUUUUUU
rnacentral:RNase_P_RNA from 1 species